rnacentral:rRNA from 2 species
GAGUUUGAUCCUGGCUCAGAUUGAACGCUGGCGGCAGGCCUAACACAUGCAAGUCGAGCGGAUGACGGGAGCUUGCUCCUUGAUUCAGCGGCGGACGGGUGAGUAAUGCCUGGGAAUCUGCCUGGUAGUGGGGGACAACGUUUCGAAAGGAACGCUAAUACCGCAUACGUCCUACGGGAGAAAGCAGGGGACCUUCGGGCCUUGCGCUAUCAGAUGAGCCUAGGUCGGAUUAGCUAGUUGGUGGGGUAAUGGCUCACCAAGGCGACGAUCCGUAACUGGUCUGAGAGGAUGAUCAGUCACACUGGAACUGAGACACGGUCCAGACUCCUACGGGAGGCAGCAGUGGGGAAUAUUGGACAAUGGGCGAAAGCCUGAUCCAGCCAUGCCGCGUGUGUGAAGAAGGUCUUCGGAUUGUAAAGCACUUUAAGUUGGGAGGAAGGGCAGUAAGUUAAUACCUUGCUGUUUUGACGUUACCGACAGAAUAAGCACCGGCUAACUCUGCGCCAGCAGCCG